rnacentral:lncRNA from 1 species
AUCGUAUUUACAUAUCGAGCUGCUCGUUUAAAAGACAAAACACAGUGUCUGUCAAGCAAGAAUUAAAACCACACUUCUUACUGAGGUCCCAAAUAGGUUAUUCAGUCUUAGAUUAACCAGCUCAAAAAUUCUGUGCCUCUGUAUUUAGAGGAGGAAUCUAAAUGCUGGGGGGAAGGCCUUACAUAUAGUUAAGACUUUUACUGCUAUAGUUGUGAAUCUAUGUAGGGAAAUAAGAGAUAUUUGCUUGAACUCCCUGGUUGUCUAAAGGUUCUGUUAUUAUUUUUUUAAAGAACAAGUAUAAUAGCAGAGCCUAGAGAAGCCAAAACCAAAAGCAAAUUUAAAAUAUAUUUUAUAGCGCUAAUAAUCAAUCAUUUAACUGAGACGAAAAGCUCUCUAAGAUGUCUAAGAUAUUCAAUGGGCGCACAACAAGUGCUGUGACCCAGGUGAGGUAAACCUUUCGUGCAUGAAUAAUUACAAAGUCUUGAUUUCUUUCAUUGUGUUUAAUCACCUGUUCCCACCCUGGAACUGGCUGAACAUAAAUAGUGUGGUCACAUCUCAAAGUGAGAUGUCAGUAACUAGAAUCACGACUUCUCAUAAUUCACAGUAAUGAAUUAAGAGUUUCCUAUGGUGAAGUUAACAUUCUACCAUUGCACAUAAAUUCCGACGCUCUGGCCCUCAGGUGCCCCUGAAGCGAAGUUCUGGAAGACGGCUGUGUGUGUACCCCCAGCCCAUUUCUCUAAAGCACGUCUGCACAAUUCCAAGUCUGCUUUUCUUUUUAUGAUGAGGAAGGAAACAAUAACAGUAAUCAUUCAGUAGAUAUUUGAAUUGUGUCACAAAAAGAAAGGAGAAGCAAUGCCUUGUAUUAAGGAAAGAGAUAUAUUGAUGAAUCUCUAGAAGAAUGUGUUUGGCAACCACAUAAAAGGUAGUCAUUUAAGCGUGCUGGGUAGGAAAGGCUUUAUUAAAGUGAUGUAAGUUGGAUUUGAGUUCACUGUGAGCCUGUACUAUUUUAUAGGCAGGAAGCAAGAAUAAAACAGUGACAGAUCUUCUUCCUAAGAUAAAUAAAGCUUAGAAUUCGGGACUUUCAGAUAGGAGAAU